GACAAGCGGUGGAGUAUGUGGUUUAAUUCGAUGCAACGCGAAGAACCUUACCUGGUCUUGACAUCCCGGAGACCCUUAGGAAACUAGGGGUGCUUCCAUCUGGAAGAAUCUGGAGACAGGUGCUGCAUGGCUGUCGUCAGCUCGUGUCGUGAGAUGUUGGGUUAAGUCCCGCAACGAGCGCAACCCUUGCCUUUAGUUGCCAGCAGUUCGGCUGGGCACUCUAAAGGGACUGCCGGUGUUAAACCGGAGGAAGGUGGGGAUGACGUCAAGUCCUCAUGGCCUUUAUGACCAGGGCUACACACGUACUACAAUGGCCGAUACAAAGGGCAGCGACACUGCGAGGUGAAGCCAAUCCCGUAAAAUCGGUCUCAGUCCGGAUUGGAGUCUGCAACUCGACUCCAUGAAGUUGGAAUCGCUAGUAAUCGUGGAUCAGCAUGCCACGGUGAAUACGUUCCCGGGCCUU
rnacentral:rRNA from 1 species